rnacentral:lncRNA from 1 species
AAAUUUCAUUCACCAUAAGGGAACACAAACUGGGCCUGUUAGAGUGCCUAGCCCAAUUCAUUUUAAUCGGCCUAAUAGUGUAAAAUCUUAAGAAGGAAAACAGAACGUCUAGCAAACUCAUAUCAUUAUGAAAUUGAAACACCCUUAUGCUAAAUAAAACUAAUGAGAAUAUUAAAAAGUUCCAGUUUGGAGUAAUUUGAAAUAUAUUAAUAAACCAUUCAAUCAAUUACAACCAUCAUUUACAAACUUGCAUCAAAAGCUCCACUGUCCUGAAUAGUGAGAAAGACUUUUUGAAAUUCGAUCAAAUCGAUCGAGAAUCUCAUCAUCUGUUAGAUGAAGAAUUCAUACUAACUCUUAUACUUUUUGCUUUCAGCAUUGGCAACGAACAACAGUAGAAUUAUACGUUCAACCUCUGCCACUCUUGAAUUUAUGAACCAUACACUUCACAGAGACGGAUCUGACUAACUGGUGGUCAAAUUCAUCCCUUGAUCAUUCUUUAACCUUCCUUUAAGCGUGAAUCAACAUUAAUACCAAAAAGAAAGAACUGAUUUUUCAACGUGAUAACUAUUAUUUCCUCAUAAAGUUGUCAUACACCUAGAAAACUAUGAUAGAGCUUGUAGUAAAUUACUUCACGACAGCUUAAAGAGAAGGAGUUAUGAUCAAAUGAAUGUCAGCAACAUGCAGAAUAACAGUAGCAGUACAGCAACAACAAAAACCCCAGAAUAUUGGACUAAACCAACUUUUAAUAGCAGAGAUAGUGAUCUAGGCAAACAUGGAGCUAUUUCUGUUUUCAAAUCCACUUUAAAACUCAGGAAAAAGAAGAAAAAUUAGUGUAAAAAAUAAACCUCGUUUUCUAGAAUUUCUUGUAUUUCAAAGAUGCCUUUUAGGUUGCGUAUGCUGAUGAUCAUGUGUGUGUGAGUGAGUGAGUGAGGGUCUAUUCCUUUUAUAAGGUGUAUAAGGAUAAGCAUAAUAAAGAAUAUUCCACCCUAAUUUUCAAAAAUGUCAGAUAGCACAGUAUCUUUUUAACAUAUUUGGUACAACUGUCUGUCCUUUUUACCUAAAUUCAACAUUUUCAUACUAAAAUUAAGGAUAUCUGUCUAAUACUAGAACCUUUUGAUAUUUUUCUCAUAUUAAGUUCCCGAUUUACCCUUUUAAGUUCUGUUUAUUGCAACUUCAACUCCCCUAAUUUAUGUUUGUUAUCAACUAAGGUUUCUAUUGAAUUCUGAAUAGCAACCAAGAACACAUAUCAAAUCAGACCUCAUACAAAGCAAAUCAAAACUGCACGGCACGUAAUGUAAUUACAACCUUAGGGUUAAUUAAAUAACAACAUGUAAUCUAUAUUAACUAACAUGCAUUUAAGUAGUCUAAAUACAUAACUAAUUUAGUUAGGCUAAUUCAAUUAGACUAAAUAAAAUGUGGUUAGCUAAGUAGUAAUGCAGUUAACUAAAGAAUUAUGCAACUAGUUUAAACUAGUCUUAUCUAAUUAAGCAAACAGUAACAAGGAAUCAAGGCAACACAAACAGAUAAAACAAAACCUUAAAAAUAGAAAAAUAAAAAAAGAAUAAACAAAGGCAAAGAGAAAAGAACAAGGCACUGUUUUUUGCUGGAAGAUACAUAAGCGACUAAGCCAAAUCGGAGCUUGGUUGGCAAUUUAGACUUGGUCGGAAUCUGGUAAACCUUAAAGCGAACCAAAACUGAUGGUAAUCGAUUAUUAUUAACGAGAAUAAUCUAUUAGCAUAAAUUUUGGCUCAAAUCGGGCCUUAGAUACCAUAGAAAUCAAAAGGGAGAAAGGGUUAGGGUUUUGAAUUUCUUUUAAAAUUUCAGAUAUGAAAUUUGGUAAAAUCGGGUGAUUAUUUAUGGAAAAUAGUAGGGGGAUAGUGAUGAGAGGAGGCUGAAAAAUUGUAGGGUUAAAUUUUGGGAAAGUUUGGAGACGGGCCGCCGCCAAGCGGAGGUGAGAUAGACGAGUUGAUGAGGGGAGAAGGGGGAAGUGCAUCAGCUCUCUAGAGUUAGAGGGUUCGACAAUUUUAAGGGAAAUGGAGAUCAGUUU